UACGUAGGGUGCGAGCGUUAAUCGGAAUUACUGGGCGUAAGGCGUGCGCAGGCGGUUUUGUAAGUCAGAUGUGCAAUCCCCGGGCUUAACCUGGGAGCUGCGUUUGAAACUACAAGGCUAGAGUGUAGCAGAGGGGGGUGGAAUUCCACGUGUAGCAGUGAAAUGCGUAGAUAUGUGGAGGAAUACCGAUGGCGAAGGCAGCCCCCUUGGGUCAACACUGACGCUCAUGCACGAAAGCGUGGGGAGCAAACAGG
rnacentral:rRNA from 1 species